UGGUUCUGGCAUCGAUGAAGAACGCAGCGAAAUGCGAUAAGUAAUGUGAAUUGCAGAAUUCAGUGAAUCAUCGAAUCUUUGAACGCACAUUGCGCCCAUUGGUAUUCCAGUGGGCAUGCCUGUUCGAGCGUCAUUUAGACCACACCUAGGCCGCCUGCCUAGCGUUGGGGGCCCGCCCUGGCGGCCCCUCAAAGCUCCCAGCGGAGCCGCGGUAGCCUCUAAGCGCAGUAGCAGCUCUGUCCUCGCUUCUGAAGGUGCCGCGGGUCCUGCUGUAAAAGCCCAAGCCCCCAAAGGGUUGACCUCGGAUCAGGUAGGAAUACCCGCUGA
rnacentral:misc_RNA from 1 species